rnacentral:lncRNA from 1 species
GUGGCACCUCCCUACCCCCGACACACACUUGGGCCAGUAGCCCGGGAGGGUCACCGUGGGGUGGGGUUGAGCUGAGUGGAGAGACCGAGCAGGACCUACCAGGCGUGGCGUCUCCUCUGCAGGGCUCCUCUGGUGUCCUGCUGCCCCCCGCCUGCUCUCCCCUUCAGGAAGCCAGCCCCAUUCCCUCGGUGGACGCCCUCCCACCCCCACUCCAGGCUGCUGAGGGAAGGGGACACUCGGCCACUCCAUGGCGCCCGGGCCAUGGCCAACACAGAGGAUGCCCCUUCUUCAGGCAGAUGGAGCCAGCUGCCACCAGAGCACCAGGGUUGCCAUAAGUAGCCAGGGCCGCGCUGCCCGUCAGCUGGGCCCUUGUGCAGUCACCAUCAUGUGCGGUCCUUCCUGUUCCUACCAGUAAACCCAGGGCUGGCUUCAGCCUGCCCCGGCCACAGCGAGGAGUUGAAGAACAAGCCUGUGGACAGGCUGAUCUCCUGGGAGCUCACCACAGAACGGCGGGACCACUGAAGACAGCCUCCCGCUUUGUAGUGCCCUGAUUAAAAGGAGCAGAGAGCCUGGGGGCUGCACUGGGUCCCGGUCAUCCCCGGGACAGUCAGCCCAGGAGGGAGGAGGGAGGCAUUAUUAAUCCGAUCUCAGUGUCGGAGCCAUAGCUGAGCCCACCGCCCUUUCAUUCAUGUGGCCAAGAAACUUCUUUUGGGUGAGACAGUUUAACAAUUCCCUGCAGUUUGCAGUCCAAGAGUCCUGACCAGUACAACUGUCGCGGUGGGAGAGGGCAAGCCUCACGGCAAAUGCUGAUUACGUCGCUGAACUCACCUGGGGUGUUGAUACGAGGGCCCUAGAGAAUGAUUUCAGUUAA